UCCUCCCAAGCCACCUACCGCUGCCACGUAACAAACCAAAGCGUGCCGCCGCUUCACAGGCAGCACGCUGCUGCCCAGGCGCCCGGGCGGGUGCCGCACGGUCUAGCGGCCACCGACCCUUCCCGGCGCCAAAACCGGCCGCCACGGGGCCCAUGCGCCGCCACCAACCCUUUGCCCCCAUGGAUCCACCCGUCACCAGCCACCCCCGCCGCCCCAACAACCUUCUCCAUCCUCCGUCGCGCCACCGUGGAGAAUGGUUCUCGGGUCAGAUCCCCGUCCAACCCCAUGGCCGACGGCCUCCUGCGAGCUCGGCCACAUCGACCGCCGCCCGUACGUUGCCUCCUUCUCCGUAUGUCACAAGCACACGUGUACACCUCCCCCUCUGCUUUCUCUCUCUCCAUUGGAUUUGGGCGGCCCCGCCUCCCCCACCUCAGGCGCACUGAAUCGAGGAUCUACGGCGAGGUCGCCGUGGCUCCCAGGCACAACGACGUCGAGCAGGAGGAUCAGUUUCAGCUCCGGUUCGCCGCGGGUCGGGGCCCCUCCUCCACGUCCUCUCCUCUCCUCUCGAUGGUUACCAGAAGACUAUGAAGCAGCAACGGCAGUGGGGAGGUGGUCUCCUCCAUGGCAAAUCCACCCUCAAAUGGUGGCGACGGCGACCGAUGGAAGAGCAGUAGCGGGUGUGCUGUCCACUUAUUUUAUUUGCAUUUUUUUCUUCAGAUUUUGGCUAUGUGCAGUCCAGUUUUUUCAGAGUUUUCGGAUUUUGCGAGCCGUGUCAGAGUUGAUAAAACUUGCGUGCAACCCUCCACGACCAAAAAUGUAGUUCGUUGUGCGUGAGUGCAGUGCGGUGUCCACGGCAUUGCGGUAACCCGAGCCCUUCUCCAGCGUCCCAGCCCCCACGGCGCACGAGAAGUGCACUAGCAGUUCACCUGAUUGUAUUUUUAAGUGGGGCAAAUUAUCUUUUUUUAGCA